rnacentral:rRNA from 1 species
UACGUAGGGUGCAAGCGUUGUCCGGAAUUAUUGGGCGUAAAGAGCUCGUAGGCGGUUUGUCGCGUCUGCUGUGAAAAUCCAGGGCUUAACCCUGGACCUGCAGUGGGUACGGGCAGACUAGAGUGCGGUAGGGGAGAUCGGAAUUCCUGGUGUAGCGGUGAAAUGCGCAGAUAUCAGGAGGAACACCGGUGGCGAAGGCGGAUCUCUGGGCCGUAACUGACGCUGAGGGGCGAAAGCAUGGGGAGCGAACAGGG